rnacentral:lncRNA from 1 species
CAGGAAACCAUUAGUAUUUCAACAAGAGAACGCAGCAGUUUAAUAAUCAUCCCUAUUCAGGAUGAUUCAAAUUUUGGUGCUAAAGAACCAUCAUCUCCUGCCCCAGCACCUGCUCACCAUCAUCUUGCAUAUCAAAGUCAACCAGUGAUAUCAUGCCCUUCUCAUAUGAUGCCUCCGGAGCAACACGUACCACCUCCAUCUCCUCCACCACUACCAAGCCAUCCAAUGUCAUAUUCUCUCCAGAAUUCAGGUACUCCUCACCUGGUUUGCAGUUAAGUGCCGCCUCCACCCAUGACUUCUGAUCCAUCACCAAUGACUUCUUCCUCUGGAUGUAUUAUUGCCCAGGUGCCACCUUAUAUUACUCCUCCUCCUCCAAGGUCUCCUCUGUCUCAAAAUGGUGGUCCACCUGUAAGGGAAUUCCCUUUGAACCGUUGUAAUCCUAACUCUUUAUCCAAGUUCAUUGAAGAACAGGAAACUCUGAGCCCUCCAUUUACACAACCAGAUGGAACAAAUCCUGGUAUAUGGCGUGUAUCAAAAGAACAUUUACCUCCUCCACCAAUGCAAGCUCCACCUUCCCCAUUUCCACUGCCUGGCUCACAUUCAGAUCAGACAAGAUAUAGACCAUAUUAACAAUGAUAAUAGUAUUUUGAACUGAAGAGCUGAUAAGGAUGCUAAACUUGGAACAUUUUAUCAUGAAGUUAACAGUGAAGACUCCCAGAUGACUUUGUAUUGGAGAAGAGAAAAGUAAUGGCCAAACUAUAUGAAUUUCACUGCUUUAUAAGGUGUCUUUAGAAUCACUUUUGCGUCACAGGGACUUGUUAUAUUCCUGCUAAGGAAAAAAAAAUGUGAAUCCUACCUUAUGUCAGAGGAGGCUUUGAAGCUAUAAUGGACACAGAUCUAAAUUAAAGAUGCUUUCAAGGGAUCCUCCACUCUCUCUCCUCCCAUCUAAUAGCUGGGUGUCAAUACCCAAGGUGAUCUUAGAAGCCGCUUGUUGAACACCAGAGAAGAACUUCCUUUUCCUUUGAACUUUGAAUGACUACCUGGAGCAGCGCAUCAUCCUUUCCCACCUUCAACCUUUGAUUGGACUUCUUAUGAAUGAGAAAUAAACUUCUGUGUAAAGCCAUUGAGACUUUGAGGCUUGUCUGAAACUGCACGCAGCAUAUAUAUAUACUUCCCCCUUGAUUUAUAGAUAAGACACUAGACAGAGAGAGGUUUUGUAGCUUUCCUGAUGUCACACAGUAAGUAAAUGGC